rnacentral:misc_RNA from 1 species
UACGAAGGGCCCAAGCGUUAUUCGGAUUCACUGGGCUUAAAGCGUACGCAGGCGGGCCUGUAGGCAUCGAGUGAAAUCCCUCGGCUCAACCGAGGAAUUGCUUGGUGAACCACAGGUCUUGAGACAGGUAGAGGCGGUCGGAACGCUCGGUGGAGUGGUGAAAUGCGUUGAUAUCGAGCGGAACGCCGAAGGAGAAAUCAGGCCGCUGGGCCUGUUCUGACGCUGAGGUACGAAAGCGUGGGGAGCGAACGGG